rnacentral:rRNA from 1 species
AUUGAACGCUGGCGGCAUGCCUUACACAUGCAAGUCGAACGGCAGCGCGGACUUCGGUCUGGCGGCGAGUGGCGAACGGGUGAGUAAUGCAUCGGAACGUACCUUUCAGUGGGGGGAUAACGUAGCGAAAGUUACGCUAAUACCGCAUAUUCUGUGAGCAGGAAAGCAGGGGAUCGCAAGACCUUGCGCUGAUGGAGCGGCCGAUGUCAGAUUAGCUAGUUGGUGGGGUAAAGGCUCACCAAGGCUUCGACGGGUAGCUGGUCUGAGAGGACGAUCAGCCACACUGGGACUGAGACACGGCCCAGACACCUACGGGUGGCAG